AACCAUAGAACUGCUUCCAAAACUGCUUAUCUAGAGUAUGGGAGAGGUAGAUGGAAUUUCUGGUGUAGGGGUAAAAUCCGUAGAGAUCAGAAGGAAUACCGAUUGCGAAGGCGAUCUACUGGAACAUUACUGACGCUGAGAUGCGAAAGCGUGGGGAGCAAACAGGAUUAGAUACCCUGGUAGUCCACGCCCUAAACGAUGCACACUAGUUGUUGCUAUGCUAGACAUAGCAGUAAUGCAGUUAACACAGUAAGUGUGCCGCCUGGGGAGUACGGUCGCAAGAUUAAAACUCAAAGGAAUAGACGGGGACCCGCACAAGCGGUGGAGCAUGUGGUUUAAUUCGACGAUACGCGAAGAACCUUACCUGGCCUUGACAUAGAAAGAAGUUUGCAGAGACGCAGAUGUGCUAGUUUACUAGAACUUUCAUACAGGUGCUGCACGGCUGUCGUCAGCUCGUGUCGUGAGAUGUUGGGUUAAGUCCCGCAACGAGCGCAACCCUCGUGUUUAGUUACUAACAGUUCGGCUGAGGACUCUAAACAGACUGCCUGGGUAACCAGGAGGAAGGUGAGGACGACGUCAAGUCAUCAUGGCCCUUACGGCCAGGGCUACACACGUGCUACAAUGGGGUAUACAAAGAGCUGCAAUACGGUGACGUGGAGCAAAUCUCAUAAAAUAUCUCCCAGUUCGGAUUGAAGUCUGCAACUCGACUUCAUGAAGUUGGAAUCGCUAGUAAUCGUAGAUCAGCAAUGCUACGGUGAAUACGUUCCCGGGUCUUGUACUCACCGCCCGUCACACCAUGGGAAUUGAAUUCAUUCGAAGCGGGGAUGCUAAAAUAGCUACCUUCCACAGUG
rnacentral:rRNA from 1 species